GAUAAUAUACCUUAUUUAAAGGAGCAUCUUGAUGAGAUGAAUAUGGACUAUGGUCUUAUUAGUG
rnacentral:tRNA from 1 species